AGCUCAAUUGGAAAAGCAGAGGACUGAAAU
rnacentral:tRNA from 1 species